GAAUGCUGACAUAAGUAACGAUAAAGCGGGUGAAAAGCCCGCUCGCCGGAAGACCAAGGGUUCCUGUCCAACGUUAAUCGGGGCAGGGUGAGUCGACCCCUAAGGCGAGGCCGAAAGGCGUAGUCGAUGGGAAACAGGUUAAUAUUCCUGUACUUGGUGUUACUGCGAAGGGGGGACGGAGAAGGCUAUGUUGGCCGGGCGACGGUUGUCCCGGUUUAAGCGUGUAGGCUGAUUUUCCAGGCAAAUCCGGAAAAUCAAGGCUGAGGCGUGAUGACGAGGCACUACGGUGCUGAAGCAACAAAUGCCCUGCUUCCAGGAAAAGCCUCUAAGCAUCAGGUAACAUCAAAUCGUACCCCAAACCGACACAGGUGGUCAGGUAGAGAAUACCAAGGCGCUUGAGAGAACUCGGGUGAAGGAACUAGGCAAAAUGGUGCCGUAACUUCGGGAGAAGGCACGCUGAUAUGUAGGUGAAGCGACUUGCUCGUGGAGCUGAAAUCAGUCGAAGAUACCAGCUGGCUGCAACUGUUUAUUAAAAACACAGCACUGUGCAAACACGAAAGUGGACGUAUACGGUGUGACGCCUGCCCGGUGCCGGAAGGUUAAUUGAUGGGGUUAGCGGUAACGCGAAGCUCUUGAUCGAAGCCCCGGUAAACGGCGGCCGUAACUAUAACGGUCCUAAGGUAGCGAAAUUCCUUGUCGGGUAAGUUCCGACCUGCACGAAUGGCGUAAUGAUGGCCAGGCUGUCUCCACCCGAGACUCAGUGAAAUUGAACUCGCUGUGAAGAUGCAGUGUACCCGCGGCAAGACGGAAAGACCCCGUGAACCUUUACUAUAGCUUGACACUGAACAUUGAGCCUUGAUGUGUAGGAUAGGUGGGAGGCUUUGAAGUGUGGACGCCAGUCUGCAUGGAGCCGACCUUGAAAUACCACCCUUUAAUGUUUGAUGUUCUAACGUUGGCCCGUUAUCCGGGUUGCGGACAGUGUCUGGUGGGUAGUUUGACUGGGGCGGUCUCCUCCUAAAGAGUAACGGAGGAGCACGAAGGUUGGCUAAUCCUGGUCGGACAUCAGGAGGUUAGUGCAAUGGCAUAAGCCAGCUUGACUGCGAGCGUGACGGCGCGAGCAGGUGCGAAAGCAGGUCAUAGUGAUCCGGUGGUUCUGAAUGGAAGGGCCAUCGCUCAACGGAUAAAAGGUACUCCGGGGAUAACAGGCUGAUACCGCCCAAGAGUUCAUAUCGACGGCGGUGUUUGGCACCUCGAUGUCGGCUCAUCACAUCCUGGGGCUGAAGUAGGUCCCAAGGGUAUGGCUGUUCGCCAUUUAAAGUGGUACGCGAGCUGGGUUUAGAACGUCGUGAGACAGUUCGGUCCCUAUCUGCCGUGGGCGCUGGAGAACUGAGGGGGGCUGCUCCUAGUACGAGAGGACCGGAGUGGACGCAUCACUGGUGUUCGGGUUGUCAUGCCAAUGGCACUGCCCGGUAGCUAAAUGCGGAAGAGAUAAGUGCUGAAAGCAUCUAAGCACGAAACUUGCCCCGAGAUGA
rnacentral:rRNA from 1 species